CCUUUUGGCGGAUCGAAAACAAUAGUACGUGUAAUAUCCCCGUUUAAGAACGCCGUAGACACGUCUAACUGUCUCAAUUGCCAAGAAUGAACGGUAGCCAAGUUGAUUAAUGAACGAAUAGCAGGGUUGUUCGGCGUCGGCGCGUAUACUUCGUUUAACUCGUACUUGACCCACUUGGAGUCGACCUUGGAAUAAUCAUCCGUACCAAUAUCUUCAAUCGUAGUCGAAAACCAAACAUCUUUAAUGUCCAUUGCAUUCAAUUCAUCUCGAAUUGCUUCACGCCACUUUUCACCUUCUGGACCUGAAAUCGCGUUCUCCUAAAUAAGAACUACUCGUUCCAGUACUAUCAUUCGAAGAAUCACUGCCGAAAUCGCUAGAGUUUUGCCUCGUACUGCUUGAGUUGGAACAGCAAGACAUCGUGAUUUGAUUUUUGAAUACAUCCAACAUUACGUAUCCCGUAUCUGUGAAACCAACAAGAAGCAUAUCUCCCGAUCGUUCACCUGUCUUCGCAUUCGUACGUUUCUCUUUCGGAAUAAAAACUCUACCGAUGCAACCAAAAAGUCUAA